rnacentral:rRNA from 2 species
AUGGUUAAGUUAUGAAGGGCGCACGGUGAAUGCCUUGGCACUAGGAGCCGAAGAAGGACGCGACGAACAGCGAAAUGCCUCGGGGAGCUGUAAGUAAGCUUUGAUCCGGGGAUAUCCGAAUGGGGGAACCCACCAUYCGUAAUGGGAUGGUACCCAUACCUGAAUACAUAGGGURUGAGGAGGCAGACCUGGGGAACUGAAACAUCUAAGUACCCAGAGGAAGAGAAAGCAAAUGCGAUUUCCUGAGUAGCGGCGAGCAACUGAAACAUCUAAGUACCCAGAGGAAGAGAAAGCAAAUGCGAUUUCCUGAGUAGCGGCGAGC